AGUAUCACGCCGGGCUGAACGGAAAUCAUUGAUGUUGAUUAAUAUGGGGACUAGAUACCUCUGGUACUA
rnacentral:tRNA from 1 species